GAUGAACGCUGGCGGCGUGCCUAAGACAUGCAAGUCGAAAGGGUUUAGACCCUUGGCGAACGGGUGAGUAACGCGUGGGUACUUCCAUUAAGUUGAGCAUAACCCGCCGAAAGGCGGGAUAAUACUCGAUGUGGCCGCAAGACUAAAGUCGCAAGACGCUUAAUGCAAGGCCCGCGUCCCAUCAGCUAGUUGGUAAGGUAAUGGCUUACCAAGGCUAUGACGGGUAGCGGAACCGAGAGGUUGAUCCGCCACACUGGGACUGCGACACGGCCCAGACUCCUACGGGA
rnacentral:rRNA from 1 species